rnacentral:rRNA from 1 species
AUGAACGCUGGCGGCGUGCUUAACACCUGCACGUCGAACGAUGAAGCCCAGCUUGCUGGGUGGAUUAGUGGCGAACGGGUGAGUAACACGUGAGUAACCUGCCCUUAACUCUGGGAUAAGCCUGGGAAACUGGGUCUAAUACCGGAUAGGAGCGUCCACCGCAUGGUGGGUGUUGGAAAGAUUUAUCGGUUUUGGAUGGACUCGCGGCCUAUCAGCUUGUUGGUGAGGUAAUGGCUCACCAAGGCGACGACGGGUAGCCGGCCUGAGAGGGUGACCGGCCACACUGGGACUGAGACACGGCCCAGACUCCUACGGGAGGCAGCAGUGGGGAAUAUUGCACAAUGGGCGCAAGCCUGAUGCAGCGACGCCGCGUGAGGGAUGACGGCCUUCGGGUUGUAAACCUCUUUCAGUAGGGAAGAAGCGAAAGUGACGGUACCUGCAGAAGAAGCACCGGCUAACUACGUG